rnacentral:rRNA from 1 species
CGAGCGCAACCCCGCCGUACGUUGCCAGCGGUUCGGCCGGGCACUCUAACGGGACUGCCCGCGAAAGCGGGAGGAAGGAGGGAACGACGUCUGGUCAGCAUGGCCCUUACGGCCUGGGCGACACACGUGCUACAAUGCCCACUACAAAGCGAGGCCACCCGGCAACGGGGAGCUAAUCGCAAAAAGGUGGGCCCAGUUCGGAUUGGGGUCUGCAACCCGACCCCAUGAAGCCGGAAUCGCUAGUAAUCGCGGAUCAGCCAUGCCGCGGUGAAUACGUUCCCGGGCCUU